AUGCCCCCGAGGGUCAUUUUUCUGCUCGGACUUGUGUUUUGCUGGGACCAAAGGAUUUGGGCACAGACUGAUCUACCUGAAAUCUACCUAAAUCCUCCUGAAAAUGGAUAUCUUCCCAUUGUGAUUGGGACCUCAGCCAUCAGUGUUCUCCCUCUCUUCCUCCUCUUCCUCCUCCUCUGCCAUUGCUGGUGUCGAGCCAAACACAGUGGUGUCUCAGUGGAUAUCGCCUCUGAGGGGGACAGACAGAUGGACAUGGAGGUGAGGCUUUCCUCCUUCCCCCGAGGCCUCCCCCCCCCCGCCCCGUGUUCUCCCCUCACCUUGUAUCUUCUUGCUGACAGGCCCUCCCAGAGGAAGACCCACAGGACGUGA
rnacentral:lncRNA from 1 species